rnacentral:lncRNA from 1 species
GAGAGCGUCAAAACCUAUUGGUUAAAGGGAUGCCUUUAUGAGUAAAACAUGAGAAAUAUUCACUUACUAAGGACAGCAGAGGGAGCCCCUGCAUGACUUAAGAAAACCGAAGGCAGGCAGAACAGAGACUUUCCAGGGUGCGAAGUUACGCAUGGUGCCCUCUACUGGAGUCACUGGUAAAGAGUUUUGAUUUCAAAAACGUAGAAUUUGUUCUUGUUCCAUUGUAUUGGUGAAGAAACUGAAGUUCAAAGUAAUUGGCAGGACAUACUACUUUGGGCAGUAUGGGAGUAGAGGCCUAUGGACGACCAGCAACAGGCAGUAAUAAAACUUCGCCAUUUUGGGGAGGGCCUCAAGAAGCUAUCUUAUCAAUCUUGGUCGUUGGAAAAGGAUCUGUAAUCUCAAAGAAAACUUUAAAUAUUGUCCAAGGAAAAUAACCAAAUACAUCUUAAAAUGCCA